AUGAGUCUAUCUGGAGGGUGGAGAGAGGAAAUGACAGCGGGAGUGGGGGGGGGGGGCAGAAACCAGCCUUGGAGAGCUGAGGCUCUCUGGUUCUCUCCUCAGGCUUUUCUGGGGGCAGGGCAGCUCCAGGCUUGCUCUGAGCGGGGCAGCCGCUGGCCAGGGCUUCUCACGGACACUUUCUUUUCCUUCCCAAAUUUAGAGCCAAAGGCAGAGACGCAGCCAGCCUACAAGAACCUCAAGAUCCUCUAUGCUGUCUUGGCCUUCUUGGCUCUGCUCCUGGUUGCUUCCUUGGCAGCUACUGUUCUUCUUUAUACAUGGGAAAACGCGUGCCCAUGGCUCCAUGGGAAACCAGUCCCCUGCAACUCCACGGAUAACUCAACCCUGCUGGCCCUGAAGACAGAAAAGGACCAUCUGGAGAAAACCAGUGCUUCCUAUCAGGCCCUUCAGCGUAAAUACCGUAAGUUUCUGUUCAAUGGGGAGCCUGUCCUGGCCCCAAGCAGACUCUUCCUUUGGGGUCUCUCUGGGGGUGGAACAGAAGUCCAACAACAGCAUAACGAUGCCCUGGGAGAGAGUUCAGACUCCUCCAUGCCACUGUCUGGAGAUGGACGCUACCUGCUACCUUCUCCCCCUCGCCAACAACAUUCACUUCUUGGUCAAGGGGCCCAGCUCCCUUCCUGCUGCCCGCUAGCCCCAGACGGCUCCUCUGUCCGUUUGUGGGCCGUCCUCCACCUGCUCACAGACCCAUCUAGUCGCUUGGCCUCAGGUCUGUUUAGACUUCUGUCCUUCCCACUUAUAAUCAGGGUGGAUUUUGCUUGGCCACUGAGUCCCCACUUCCAUAUUUUCCAUAACUCCCCAUGGAAAGCAGCCCUGAAUGUUUCCCAGGACUUCCAUCAGGAUGGUGGGCUCUUCAGGAAGGACACUCAGAAAAUUGGUGCCCCCUAGGCAGUGGCUAUCCAACCAUAAAAAACAUGGCACGAAACCCCUGGCAAGGGCUCCAUCUGAUGUGACCUCCGUCUAAAAGCUGGGCGCUGCCUCUGACCUUAUCCCAAAAGCAGACCAUGAAUCUCCAGCCUUCUUCUCUCAUUCUCUCAGAACCCUUCAGAGACUCCUGGGUAUCCUAGCCCCGCGGGGUCACUAUGGACCUACCUUUGCCUUUAGCCACAUCUUUCUGUCACAUCACCUCUGGAGACACCUCCAGUGCCUGCUCAGUUGUGCAAGAAUUGAGGAGAUUUAGGGAGGGAGGGAGGAAGGGAGGGGAAGGAAGGGAGGAAGGGAGGAAGGUAGGAAGGUAGGAAGGGAGGAAGGAAGGAAGGAAGGAAGGAAGGAAGGAAGGAAGGAAGGAAGGAAGGAAGGAAGGAGAGUUUAUUUAGUCUCCUAGGCUGCCUCCUCCUCAGAUCCUCCGGGUCAGGGAGCUUUGGGAAAAUGUGGGUAGUUUUAUUUCAAUAUGCUCAGCUCCCUUGGUAGGUAGUGUGGUGUGUCUCACAUCAUGCACUUAGCCACUGCUCUGGUAAAAGAAAAGGCCAAAGAGGCAUGUAAAGAAAGACGCAGAAGCCCUGGGCUGGGCGGAUCUACAGCCCCUAUUGACAUGUUGGUUGUCUCCCCGCUUCUUAAGGGUUGGUCUACACACUCCUCUCUGAAGGCUGGAGGCUGCAUAACUGGAAUAUCUACUAUUUUUCCAGUGAAACAAAGUCCUGGGAAAAGGCUCAGCAGUCCUGUGAGUCCAAGAACUCCAACCUGGUUUCAGUGACCUCAAGGGAAGAACAGGUAUAUGCAUGCACGUAUGGGCACAGGCAUGCACACAUGUAACACCAAUAACAGACCAUGAGAGAGACAGAGGAGAGGGUGGGAGAUGCAAACAGCCUCCUCUCACACUAGCACCCCAAGAAAGGAAAUAGAGGGAUUCUGGGAAUGAAACAGAAUCCAACCGUUGUCCUGUGGAAGCAGAGAGCUCAGGGUGGGAAGGAGCUUCAGAGUCAAGGAGUUGAAUGCCACUUAAACCUGAAGCCUGAGGGGCAGCCGGGUGGCUCAAUGGGUAGAGCCAGGCCCGGAGACGGGGGGUCCUGGGUUCAAGUCUGGCCACAGACACUUCCUAGCCUUUGCUGCCCAUCUACCUUGGAACCGACACUUGGUUAUUGGCACGAAAAGAGCGCCUUUCUUUGGGGUUGGUUUUCUAUGUGUCUGAGCUUACAACAAUGACCGACAUGGAAAAUGCAAGUGGUGGGGAAGUUGGAUGGGGAGGUUGGAUGGGGAGGAUCAUGUCCUUUCAGAAAACAUGUCCAGAACUCGUCGCCUGUGAUUGGGAGAAUAAAAUAUGGACUUAGAAAAGGAACCUGCA
ensembl:lncRNA